UGCGCAGGCGGGCUAAUAAGUCAGUGGUGAAAUCUUUCGGCUUAACCGGGAGACUGCCAUUGAUACUGUUAGUCUUGAGUUCGGUUGAGGUAGGCGGAAUGUGUAAUGUAGCGGUGAAAUGCUUAGAUAUUACACAGAACACCAAUUGCGUAGGCAGCUUACUAGACCUACACUGACGCUGAGGCACGAAAGCGUGGGGAGCGAACAGGAUUAGAUACCCUGGUAGUCC
rnacentral:rRNA from 1 species